GGUCAGUCAAAUUCUUUUUUCAGUCGAUCUUCCUAAGCUUGACUUUACCUUAAUUUUUUUAGAUAGCAUGAUUGAAAUGUAAAAAGUAUUUGAUUCUCAGAUGGAACAUCAAUUCUUCAGCUUGAGCUAUGGCUCAGUACUGCUAUCAAUACAGAAGGACUGGACUAUCAACGAAGGAUGCCACUCCAAGCUCACUAAUGAACUUCCAUAACCAAACAACUUCUUUACCAGCAUCAAAUACUACAAAGAACUCCGUAUCG
rnacentral:lncRNA from 1 species